GCGCUUCAGACCCCAUUACAGAUGGUUGUGAGCCACCAUGUGGUUGCUGGGAAUUGAACUCAGGACCUCUGGUAGAGCAGUCAGUGCUCCUAACUGCUGAGCCAUCUCUCCAGCCUGUCUUAAAAGAUUCUUAACACUGUAUCUAAUACUUCUCCAAUUUUAGGAUGAUUCUUACUACUCUGAUAUAUUUCUCUGAUUUGUUCACAAUUUAAAAACCUCUAUAGAAAGCCAUUAGUUUAUAGUAAUUUCUACAUACAUUUUUGUUAACCAUUUUCAAACUCCACAUGAAGAUUCAGGUUUUAGGAUUCUUUGUAACCAGGACUGUAUGGUAUAAUUAUAGUGUAAAUAUAUUAUGCUAUCAAGUUCAUGACAUGUGAAUAGAAGCUUAAUAGCUCAUUCUCAAUGACAUUUUUGUUGUUUGAUUUCUGUGUUAGGAUCAUGAGUACCGCAGGCUAGCACCAAACUCCCUAUGUAGCCAAGAAUGAAAGUGGACUUCCAAUCCUUCUGCUUCUACCUCCUGAGUGCUGAGAAUACAGACCACCAUGUAUAAACCACAUGCCUGCUUUAUACAGCACUGAGAAUAGAACCCAAGACUUUGUGCAUGUGACACACGCAUUCGACCAACUGACCCACAUUCCCUAUUCUUUAUACCUUUUGGUAUAUAUUAGACUCUGCAAUCAUUUUUAAUUGAAUUCUAUCACCGAUUUGUGCCUCACUUUGAACCCUUUUCCCCCUAAUAUAACUGAUACUUUUCUUCUGCGUCCCAAAAGAACUAAGACAUCCAGCUUUGUCCACCUGUUACCCCUGUUAUAUUUUACAUUGUUCAUAACUGUUUUUCUCCCCUAGAUGAUGAGCGCACUGGCAAAAACAUGGACCA
rnacentral:lncRNA from 1 species